GGAAGUAUGGCAGAGUGACCGAAUGCGCUGGACUCGAAAUCCGGUAUACCCACUAUCUGGGUAUCGGGGGUUUGAAUCCCUCUACUUCCGCCG
rnacentral:tRNA from 1 species